rnacentral:lncRNA from 1 species
CCUCACACUUUUUACUUUUUCUUUCGAAACAAAUACUUUUAGAAUUGGGUAGCAUGGGAGGCAGGAAGGACACAGCUUUGAUCACUUGUAACAAGAUAUGGCUGGAAUACCACAGAACAUGCAUGGUGUCGUUCAUGGGAAGCCAAACAUACCCUACAAGAAAGUUAUUACAGUUCAUUACCACUUCAUUAUAAUCAUUUUAUAAAUUGCUUAGUGUAGCUCAUUAUCCACUUCACUAUGAUCGUCAUACAAUAUUUCCAGAGGAAUUUGGAUUCUCUACUGAGAGAGAAAGAAAAAGAGACAAUAAGCCCUGCAAUCUAGUCUUCUCCUUCCCCUCUCAAAACCUACAGUGUUCUCUAACAAGAAGGACACACAAAAUCUAUUAAAACCAUUACAUGUCAUUUGUACAAUCUCACUUCUUAAUAACGCAGUGUUAAAAAAAUGAUGAAAUAAUAAAAGUAUCGGCAUCAUAAUUCAAGCUUAUUACCCUUUACCUUCCCUGCCUCACCCAUGAGUAUUGAGUACCCAACCAACUGAUUUGUGUGUCUCAAGAUGGGAAAACAGUAGGAAAGAGCUGAAGUACGAUUGCAUAUAAUCUGAAUAAAGGAAAAUCAUGGAGAGCUGAAGAGAAGAAAAAAAAAUUCCACAUCUAUUUUCUCAUGGUAGAUAAUUUUAAAAGAAAACAAAAACUAAAACCCUACUUCAUUACUAAAUUUUGACUCACCCAAAAUUAAAAAAAUUUCAAAGAGAUUUUUUUUACAGUUAAACAGAGAACAUUUUUAAUCAUUCUGAUAUAUCAAGUCCUGCAGACAUUAACCCUUCAACUUUGCAGCCAUUACCUAAAUGUUCUUUUGUACAAUCAUUAAACAAAAACAAAGAAUCCACAACAACAAUAAUAAAUUAGUACUUUUUUUCACCAUGGAUAGAAGAAAGUACUAAUCCACAAAGUUGAUGGUCAAUCAGUGCAGGAUAGUUUGACAAAUUGUUUUUCUUUCGAAUCAGAACUUCUCUAUCUAUAAAAUUCAAACUCAAAAUCUUAGCUCAUCAUUGUUCUUACCAAACAAAUUCAGAAUCAAAAAUAAAACAGACUAAUUCAUCUCACCUUGCUUCAACAAUAUCCAAAUCACAAAAUUAAUCAGACAAACGGCAUUAAAUCAAAUGAGUUAAAGCAAAAACCUAAAAGCAGGCAAGAGGAUAAAGAGAAAUAGAAUAUCAAUAAACAUUUAAUAUAAAUAUAUAAAUAUAUAUACAUACAGAGAGGAUAUUCUCAAUCGGAAUGUGGAUGACGAUAGCCAAGGUAGGAAAAGAGAGAGCGGAAGAGGUAGUGGAAAGGGAGGCAGAAGAGGAGGUGCAAAACGACGUCGCUGCUAAGCCUCUCGGGAUUGCAAGCUAUGAAUUGGAAAAGAUGCGCUGAAGCGUGCGCCACUCUCGCCACCAAGUUGCUGUUCAGCACCAUCCUCGAUCUACGUCGUCGUUUUCUGCUUCCUUCGUCUUCUUCUCCACCCUGAUCCGUGUUUGUUUCGCAAUCAAAAUCAAGCUCUAUUCGAGGACAAGGCCGUGUUUGUUAGUUGCACGUUUGGGACCUUUUCGACUUGGAUUAUGCUUUUCUCGGACGCGCUUUUCUGGAAUGUGAUGAGAUGAGCGAUGACAGGACAAGGUUUCGAGAAAGGGUUAAUUUAUUUGGUUGGUUCUUAAGGAAAAUAAUUUAAUUUUAUUGCAUUUAUUUAUUCUUUAGUUUUUUUUUUCUUUAUCAACUUGGGUAUUCUAAAUGAAACGGCCAUUUCUUUGUAAUUACAGAUUAUUUGUAAAUAUGGAACAUGCAUAAUGCUAAUAAAUGUAUGACUCUACUCA